CCCUUAGAUGCUCUGGGCGGCCCGCGCACUACAUUGGCACUCUCAAUAAGUUCCUAGAUCUAAAACUUUGGGGUAUUCUAUUAAGUGGUGUCGUGACUGGGAUUAACCCUUGCAAUUAUUGGUUACGAACGAGGAAUUCCUUGUAAUCGCGGUUUAUCAGCCCGCGUUGAAUGCGUCCCUGCCCUUUGUACACACCGCCCGUCGCUCCUACCGAUGAAUCGUCCGGUGAAGUUCAUGGAGUGGUGGUUGUUCCAGCUGCUGUCGAAGUGAAAUGGACCUCACGAUUUAGAGGAAGGAGAAGUCGUAACA
rnacentral:rRNA from 1 species